AGAAAUUUCAUCACCUAAAUCAAACUCAACAAAUACAGAAGUAUUGAAGCAAACAUACAUGUUAAUCCUCCUUCGACAAGUAAUUAUAUUUUAAACAAAUUUUCUGAACGCGAUGUUGAGACUCCCGGCCAUUUACAGAAAGUCAAUCUUACUGAUUUAAUGUUAUAGUGCUGUGGGGGAAAUAUUUUGUAAUGAAACUGAAUUAAAAUGUAUAUUUUUUUUAGGUAACCUCCCUAGUAAAAAUUGGCGGAAGUACGCCAUAUGAGUUUGUUACGCGCUGCUUAACUAAUUUAAUAACAGUUUGGCUGUUUGGAUCCCAAACAAAAUCUGCUCUCCUCCAAUAUGUUUUAGGACUUAUUGAACGCUAUAGCAGUUCGUCAAAAUUCUGAGGUCACGACGAAAAUGACGGGAAAAAAAGUUCAGAAUUGGUUGAGGCGAGCGGAUGAGCACCUAAAAUAUUUUUUGUUGUUUUUGUUUCUGGUUUUCCGUACAUAAAAUUAUUUUGUAUUUAAGUUAUUUUGUUUUAUUUAGGUAAUAUUUAUAAUAAAUUUAAAGGUAUUCUUGUUUAAGUUCUUAAUGUUUAGUUUAGUUUUAGUCUGAUUUUUUUGGUUACUUUAUUAUUAGUUUAGUAGUUUAUCUUUUGUUUACUUUUAGUUAUUUAGGUUUUUAAUAUAUCCCAUGUCCCUAUAUGCAUAUUCUUAUAUUUAUAUGUUUUCAAUAAAAUUAUGUACAGGGUG
rnacentral:lncRNA from 1 species